GUGUUCACUUCAGCAACACAUGCACUAAAACUGAAAUGAUACAAAGAUUAGCAUGACUCCUGUGCAAGGAUGACAUGGAAAUUUAUGAAGCAUUUCAUAUUUCA
rnacentral:snRNA from 1 species